rnacentral:rRNA from 1 species
ACUCAAAUGAAUUGACGGGGGCCCGCACAAGCGGUGGAGCAUGUGGUUUAAUUCGACGCAACGCGAAGAACCUUACCUGGGCUUGAACUGUUUGGGCUAUUUCCAGAAACGGAGAGUUCCCUUCGGGGACCCAAGCAGAGGUGCUGCAUGGCUGUCGUCAGCUCGUGUCGUGAGAUGUUGGGUUAAGUCCCGCAACGAGCGCAACCCUCGUCCUGUGUUGCCAUUUUGGGACUCACAGGAGACCGCCAGCGAUAAGUUGGAGGAAGGUGGGGACGACGUCAAGUCAUCAUGGCCUUUAUGUCCAGGGCUACACACGUGCUACAAUGGGCGGUACAACGGGUCGCGAAGCCGCGAGGCGGAGCUAAUCCCUAAAAACCGUCCUCAGUUCGGAUUGCAGGCUGCAACUCGCCUGCAUGAAGCUGGAAUCGCUAGUAAUGGCGUAUCAGAAUGACGCCGUGAAUACGUUCCCGGGCCUUGCACACACCGCCCGU